rnacentral:rRNA from 1 species
AAAAGACAGUCUCAGUUCGGAUCGCAGGCUGCAACUCGCCUGCGUGAAGUUGGAAUUGCUAGUAAUCGCGGAUCAGAAUGCCGCGGUGAAUACGUUCCCGGGUCUUGUACACACCGCCCGUCACACCAUGGGAGUCGGAAAUGCCCGAAGUCUGUGACCCAACCGAAAGGAGGGAGCAGCCGAAGGCAGGUCGGAUGACUGGGGUGAAGUCGUAACAAGGUACC